AGGGGGAUAACUACUGGAAACGGUGGCUAAUACCGCAUAACGUCGCAAGACCAAAGAGGGGGACCUUCGGGCCUCUUGCCAUCAGAUGUGCCCAGAUGGGAUUAGCUUGUUGGUGAGGUAACGGCUCACCAAGGCGACGAUCCCUAGCUGGUCUGAGAGGAUGACCAGCCACACUGGAACUGAGACACGGUCCAGACUCCUACGGGAGGCAGCAGUGGGGAAUAUUGCACAAUGGGCGCAAGCCUGAUGCAGCCAUGCCGCGUGUAUGAAGAAGGCCUUCGGGUUGUAAAGUACUUUCAGCGGGGAGG
rnacentral:rRNA from 1 species